rnacentral:rRNA from 1 species
UACGUAGGGAGCAAGCGUUGUCCGGAAUCAUUGGGCGUAAAGCGCGCGUAGGCGGCCUCGUAAGUCCGUUGUGAAAGUCAAAGGCUCAACCUUUGAAAGCCGAUGGAUACUGCGGAGCUAGAGUACGGAAGAGGCGAGUGGAAUUCCUGGUGUAGCGGUGGAAUGCGCAGAUAUCAGGAGGAACACCAAUAGCGAAGGCAGCUCGCUGGGACGUUACUGACACUGAGGCGCGAAAGCGUGGGGAGCGAACAGG